rnacentral:rRNA from 1 species
CGAUAUCAAUAAGCGGAGGAAAAGAAAAUAACAAUGAUUCCCUUAGUAACGGCGAGUGAAGGGGGAUAAGCUCAAAUUUUAAAUCUGCUAGGUUUUACUUAUCAGAGUUGUAAUUUGAAGAAGCGUUUUCCGCGUCUCGGUUGACCCAAAUCCUUUGGGAUAAGGUAUCAUGGAGGGUGAGAAUCCCGUUCGGUUGACCUUAUGACGCUUUACGAUACGUUUUCUAAGAGUCGAGUUGUUUGGGAUUGCAGCUCAAAAUGGGAGGUAAAUUUCUCCUAAGGCUAAAUAUUGGCGAGAGACCGAUAGCGAACAAGUACCGUGAGGGAAAGAUGAAAAGAACUUUGAAAAGAGAGUAAAAUAGUACGUGAAAUUGUUGAAAGGGAAACGAUUGAAGUCAGUCGUACCGACGAAAAAUCAGCUCUUUGAGUGCGGACUUGUGGGUUUACGUGAGCUUUACGGCCUCGCUGUUUGCAACGUUCGUUCUUUUUGGGUGUACUUUUUCGUAUGGUAGGCCAAUGUCAGUUUCGAUCGCUAUAAAAUGACCGGCGGAAUGUAGCUUUGAUCUCGUAUUGAAGUGUUAUAGCCUCUGGUAGAUGUGGUGAUUGGGACUGAGGAUUGCAACGAAUACCUUUUUGGGCUAUCCGUCUGAUCUCUGAAAGUUGCUUAGGUGCCGAAAGCGUGCUUACGGUUAUUUAAGUUGACGGUCAAAAGGUUAGAACGUGAUUAAAUUCGUUAAGGAUGUUGACGUA